GCAAUUGUUUGCGAUUUUUUUUCAUCUUAUUUGGUUGCCGUUCGCCGAAGUUUUGCGGCAUAUGCCGGACAUGUCGAACAAGUGCUGUGUACCGGCAUGUUCAAGUAACUCCAGAACAGGGGAAAAGGCCCAAGUGUUUUCUUUCCCGUAGGACGAAGCGCUGCACAUGCACGAAGUGUGGCUGAGGGCGAUUCCGCGGAAGGAUUUUGAUGCUACAGAAAACAAUGUAUGCGCAUUGCACUUCGAGUGAUCAUGCAUUCAACGAGAGGCUUCGUACACGGAUCGUAGGGCAGGGCGAGUGCUUGAAGUUUCCUUGAAAUUACCACGUCUUCGCCAAGGAUCAGUGCCUACCCUUUUUCCGGGAUGCCCGUCGUACUUGUCGAAACAAGACGGCUGCCCUUCCAGGCUAUCACCAGAGAGCAAGCGGAUCCGCCGGGAAGCAUCCGAUCUCUCAGAAUCCGCAGCAUGCUACCAGAGGGAAGAAAUUCAGCGUACUUUUUCCUCCCUAAUUCUUGAAUUGAGAGAAAGGUUGAAGACAGUGCGCAUGCCUGAUGUGGGGACGGUUAUUCAUCGCCCCAACUGCACACUGUUUUUAAACAGUGUGAACGAGAGCGCACCUGUUUUGUGCUCAUCUAUGACCGUCUCCGUGGAUAUGCAGAUAAUUGCGUGCUUCCGCAGCAAAAGCCUAAAGAGUUUUGGAAAUUACGUGUUUCCAAAUGAGAUCAAGGAUGUCAAUGUUCUCCUCGAGCUGCUGAAUCGGAUGCAGCACAUUGAGAGCGCGAAGUGUCCCCUCUGAUGGAAUUCUAUAUAUUGUUUCUGCCCUUCUGCAAAAGAUAGGCGAACACAUUACAGAGAGCAAAAAAGAUGUGGUUAAAUUUUUCAAAGAAUAGGUUACACUGCUUGUAAAGGAACACGCGUAGUAUUCAUCAGAGGUUGUGGUACUCGCUUGCAUAUUGCACACCAUAUAAUUCUCAACAAUUAUUUGCAAGAACAGAAAUGACGCUGCUGCUGCAAAAGCUGAUGCAAAUGCGCGUAAGUUAAUGACGGUUGCGAAGAAGUGAAAAUGAUAAACGGUUGUUCUUGGCUGUUCUUUCUUGUGCUUUGAUCAUAAGUGUGGAAAAUAAAAGUUUGUCCCUGUUUGUGAAUUUUCCCUA